GUCAGGUCUAAGUGCUUUGGGUGGUGGUAAGGUUUUAAGUACAGGAUUGUGGCUCAGCACACCAUGGUAGUUUAACUUCUUUCUUUCCUAUUUGGAUUUCUUUGUCUUUCUUCUUUCUGAUUAAGAGUUCAAGCCCUAUACAGAAUAAGGCCAGAAAAAGUGGUCCCCUGUGUCCCAUACCUAAUUUUAGAAGGAACACUGAGUUUUUUCAUCUUAGCAUAAUGUCAGCUCUAGGUGACAUUGUACUGUCAUAUAGCACCAGAAUGCCUAUGCCAGCUUUUAUUAUGUUGAAGAUUGUUCCUUCUAUGCCUAGUUUCUUCAGGGUCUAUCUUAUAAAAAGAUAUUGAACUUUGUGGAAGGCAUUUUCAGUGUCUAUUGUGAAAAACCUUGCUGCCUCCAUUUUAAGCUUAAAAGCUGUCUUAUAGUAAAGACAAAGUAGGUUCCUCCCUAUUUAUGAUGAAGCCUCUGUUUCUCAAGGAUUGGGCUAAACCCCACCUGUAACCUUACCCACAAAUGGUUCUCUACUGUCUGUUCCAGGAAUGAUGAGACGAUUGCAUUCAGGUGAUCUUUCCUUCAUGCACACCAUCCAACCUUACUCGAAGAAGAUCAAGCAAAUGCACACCUACUUCCCAUCACAGACUCAGAGCUGUUGUUUGCUGUGGGGUACAGCAGAGUUCGGAAACCAUCCACUUCACAAAAUCUCCACUCCUCACCGAGAAGGCCUUCAAACCCAGAACUGUUGCAGCUAG
rnacentral:lncRNA from 1 species